AGCCGAUAAGAGUGAACGGGGUGAAGGUUUACACAGAGAAUGUGGACAAGAGGCAGGUCAUCAUGGAUCUGCAGAUCAGUUUUGUGGGGAAUACAGAGAUUGACGUGGACAUCAAGAAGUACUACUGCAGAGCGGGAAUCAAGAGUAUUCAGCUCCAUGGGACGCUGAGGUGUGAUGAGCCCUGCUGGGAG